AUGCAAACAGGAUUUGAAGAAGAUGGUUCUCAUUUGAUUAUACUUCUAAGCAACAUCUUCCAGUCUUUUGCACAAGUAUCACAGACAGGUGAUGAGGCUGGGGCACAUAUUCAGAAGGAGAAUCAACUGCAGGCAAAUGUCUCUCAUGACUGUUUCCAUGACCUGUCUUCAAGGAUGUCCAGGGUUCAAUGUCCCACCCCCAGGUGCUCUGCUCCAUCAUCCCUACUGGCCCUCUUCUGAACCUCUCUUCCCAUGGUUUAAAUAUUAUCACUUUUUGCUCUAACCCCCAAAUACUCACUCUAUUGUUUAUAUACUUUAUAUAUGCUCUAAUAUAUGUUUAAAUUCCUGAGAGAACACACAAGAAAACCAACUCAUGCCUCAGAAGGUGACUCAGAGGCCUUUCUGGCCAAAGACAAAAAACUCUGUUCUUACCAUCCCCGGACAGAUUAGAAGCACUGAAGAGUGUCCUGACUGAUACUAUUUAAUAGGUGGCAAGGCUUGGACAUUAUGUGAGAAUGGAAGGAAUCUGAGAAGGUUUAUUACAAACAAAUUGUGCUUUCUUAGUAGGUGCUUAUGAUCUGCAAUCCAUCCAGAGCAGGAGCAGCAGUGAUUCUGUAGCCUCACUCAGGUCAGGGUGAGCAAUUAUGAGUGUCUGACCAGAGUCAACCGUGGAAUACCUGAGCACAGCAAGACAGCAGAUCUUGUGGUGAUUAUUAAUGGAACACUUGUGACUGUGUCUGGGCAAUUUACAUGAUGAGUGAUGUAAACACAGAGGUUAUUGAAUGGGGAGUGAAAACUAUCAGGCAGCAGGUUAGUGGUUGUUGCUUUAACUGGGGACCAGAAGGGAAAUCCUCUCUGGGGUCAUUAACUCUAUUGUCCUGACACUCUGCUAGAGCAGAACUUACCUCAGCUCUCCACUGUCCUUCUAUCUCAGCUUGAAAUGCCUGAAGUGAUGGUGAGGAUUUUGGUCUGUGAGCUAUGACAUAAGCUGCAAGUGAGUGUCAGUCUCGGAAGAUGACUGCAUUUCUCAGAGAAGUUUCCUUGAGAAUCUUUUCUGGUAGCUAAUCAACACACUUCAAGCUGAUUUUUCCAUGUUUCACCAAAGCUGCAGAAAAAUCAGUGACUUUGAAUAGUGUUCCACAGCCAUUGCUUUGAUUUUUGAAAAUUCAUUAAGAACAGCAAUGACAACAACAACAAAAAAAUUCUGGUGAGCUGAAUAAGGCUGAACUGGCAAAUCCCAGAUACCCAGAAGAAACAGUGUCCUGUUUGUAAGGAAAGAGUGUGGUUACUAUGGUCAGACAGCUGGGCUACAGGCCAGGACAUGCCUCCUAAACAUAUUUUAUCUAACCUCAUGUCACAAGCAGGAUGUGGAGAAUGUAAGAUUUUCUCUUCUGAAAGGUAAGGGCCUUUCACAGGGAGCAUACACAGGCAUUGCUCCCUUGACAGCUGCUUUGCCUUACACCCAUUGAACCUCUGCUUCUUCAUUAGGGUAUCAGAGGAAAUUUCUAGGCCUGCUGGGAUCAGGAUUGAGGCAGAUCCACCCUGGUGGCUUUCCCCAGGCAGUCAAAAAGGCAAAGACAGGCUGCAACCAGGCCUGAAUGGACCCAUUCUCCUCAGCCAGCUGUGAACACUUAAGGUAUGUCUCACCUAAGCACGGGGUGUGAUUGUAGCACAUAAAUAAUGGGUGCAGCUAAUGUGGUUCAGAAGCCAUAAGACUGUAGAGUUCCUAGAGAGUCCUUGCUUCUUCCCUGGCUGCUGGUGUUGCAUAGGGUGGCUUCAAGAACCCAUCAGGGCUACAGGAGCACCUCUGCUCGGUUGGCUGAAG
ensembl:lncRNA